rnacentral:rRNA from 1 species
UCAUCCGAGGCCCCGUAAUCGGAAUGAGUACACUUUAAAUCCUUUAACGAGGACCAAUUGGAGGGCAAGUCUGGUGCCAGCAGCCGCGGUAAUUCCAGCUCCAAUAGCGUAUAUUAAAGUUGUUGCGGUUAAAAAGCUCGUAGUUGAAUCUGUGUGUCACAGUGUCGGUUCACCGCUCGCGGUGUUUWACUGGCAUUAUGUGGUACGUYCUAUCGGUGGGCUUAGCUCCUCGCGGGCGGUCCAACUAAUAUCCCAUCGCGGUGCUCUUCACUGAGUGUCGAGGUGGGCCGAUACGUUUACUUUGAACAAAUUAGAGUGCUUAAAGCAGGCUACCUUCGCCUGAAUACUGUGUGCAUGGAAUAAUGGAAUAGGACCUCGGUUCUAUUUUGUUGGUUUUCGGAGCCCCGAGGUAAUGAUUAAUAGGGACAGAUGGGGGCAUUCGUAUUGCGACGUUAGAGGUGAAAUUCUUGGAUCGUCGCAAGACGGACAGAAGCGAAAGCAUUUGCCAAAAAUGUUUUCAUUAAUCAAGAACGAAAGUUAGAGGUUCGAAGGCGAUCAGAUACCGCCCUAGUUCUAACCAUAAACGAUGCCAGCCAGCGAUCCGCCGAAGUUCCUCCGAUGACUCGGCGGGCAGCUUCCGGGAAACCAAAGCUUUUGGGUUCCGGGGGAAGUAUGGUUSCAAAGCUGAAACUUAAAGGAAUUGACGGAAGGGC